UGGGGAAUAUUGCACAAUGGGCGAAAGCCUGAUGCAGCAACGCCGCGUGCGGGAUGACGGCCUUCGGGUUGUAAACCGCUUUCAGCAGGGACGAAGGUUUUCUGACGGUACCUGCAGAAGAAGCACCGGCUAACUACGUGCCAGCAGCCGCGGUGAUACGUAGGGUGCGAGCGUUGUCCGGAAUUAUUGGGCGUAAAGAGCUUGUAGGCGGUCCGUUGCGUCGGAAGUGAAAACUCAGGGCUUAACCCUGAGCCUGCUUUCGAUACGGGCGGACUUGAGGGAUGUAGGGGAGAACGGAAUUCCUGGUGGAGCGGUGGAAUGCGCAGAUAUCAGGAGGAACACCAGUGGCGAAGGCGGUUCUCUGGACAUUUCCUGACGCUGAGAAGCGAAAGCGUGGGGAGCAAACAGGCUUAGAUACCCUGGUAGUCCACGCCGUAAACGGUGGCACUAGGUGUGGGACCCAUUCCACGGGUUCCGUGCCGUAGCUAACGCAUUAAGUGCCCCGCCUGGGGAGUACGGCCGCAAGGCUAAAACCUUAAAUGAAUUGACGGGGUCAUAGCUG
rnacentral:rRNA from 1 species